ACCUAGCUGGCUCAGUUGGAAGAGCAUAAGACUCCUGAUCUCAGGGUUGUGGGUUCGAGCCCUAUGUUGGGUA